AAAAGAAACCAACAGGGAUUGCCCUAGUAACGGCGAGUGAAGCGGCAACAGCUCAAAUUUGAAAUCUGGCUCUCGGGCCCGAGUUGUAAUUUGUAGAGGAUGCUUUUGAUGCGGUGCCUUCCGAGUUCCCUGGAACGGGACGCCAUAGAGGGUGAGAGCCCCGUCUGGUUGGAUGCCAAAUCUCUGUAAAGCUCCUUCGACGAGUCGAGUAGUUUGGGAAUGCUGCUCUAAAUGGGAGGUAUAUGUCUUCUAAAGCUAAAUACCGGCCAGAGACCGAUAGCGCACAAGUAGAGUGAUCGAAAGAUGAAAAGCACUUUGAAAAGAGAGUUAAAAAGUACGUGAAAUUGUUGAAAGGGAAGCGUUUAUGACCAGACUUGGGCUUGGUUAAUCAUCUGGGGUUCUCCCCAGUGCACUUUUCCAGUCCAGGCCAGCAUCAGUUUUCGCCGGGGGAUAAAGGCUUCGGGAAUGUGGCUCCCUCCGGGGAGUGUUAUAGCCCGUUGCGUAAUACCCUGGCGGGGACUGAGGUUCGCGCAUCUGCAAGGAUGCUGGCGUAAUGGUCAUCAACGACCCGUCUUGAAACACGGACCAAGGAGUCGUCUUCGUAUGCGAGUGUUCGGGUGUCAAACCCCUACGCGUAAUGAAAGUGAACGCAGGUGAGAGCUUCGGCGCAUCAUCGACCGAUCCUGAUGUUCUCGGAUGGAUUUGAGUAAGAGCAUACGGGGCCGGACCCGAAAGAAGGUGAACUAUGCCUGUGUAGGGUGAAGCCAGAGGAAACUCUGGUGGAGGCUCGCAGCGGUUCUGACGUGCAAAUCGAUCGUCAAACAUGGGCAUGGGGGCGAAAGACUAAUCGA
rnacentral:rRNA from 1 species